ACUUAAAUAAUUUAAUAAAAAUAUUGAUUUGUGGUUUCAAAAAUAUGGAUUAUCCAUUUUAAGUU
rnacentral:tRNA from 1 species